UGGGUUGUGGCUCAAUAGUAAAGUGCUUGCCUAGCAUGUAUGAGGCACUGGGUUUGAUUCUCAGCACCACAU
rnacentral:tRNA from 1 species